rnacentral:lncRNA from 1 species
UUAUAUUUACCCAAGGUAUAAUGUUUUUAUGUUGGUUACUGUAAAUUUUUUUAUGUGUUGUUUCUAUAGUUGCCUGAUCUAGGGAAUUAUUGUCUUUGCUUUUUCUUUAUGCUGAGCUGUUUAUAAAUUUGUAAUGUAAGGGCUUGCAUGACUCUUACGAUCACGGAUGAGACUGGAUCUUUGAAUGCAAUAGCCAUGGGAGACGAGGCUGAAAAGUUGAUUGGUAUUAGUGUUCAUCGUUUAUUUCAAGCGGAGCAAGAGGUGCUUCUUUUUUCUUGGAUUAGACAUAAUAGUGAAAUAUUAUCUUGUGUGACCAAUUAUUUAUUAUGCCAAUGAGUUGUUGUUUUCAAUUGGUUGACAGAAUGUGCAUAUCACUGAUCGUGUUGCAAGUGAACUCGAGGGAAA